UUCCGGACGAAAAUGAGGCAAUGAGCAAAAAUUGGCAGACUAAACAAUAUGUUUGCCUUUUCGCUGUUGUGUUUGGCAUUAUUUUUAUCUAUUUAGGCAUGUUUGUGCACCUUGACACUGAUUCACCUUAUUGUUCCGACUCUAAUGUGCUGUGCUUUGAAGAUUUGUAAUUGACUCAUCAGAAAUUCACACGAAAAACAUAAUGGAACACCUUUUGCAUUUAUUUUUUAUUUUCAUAUAUUUUUAUUAUGAAAAGGAGACUUUCUACUACACAAACAAUGAAAUCAAGUUUUAGGCAAAUUUUCAUAUCGUAAUAAACUUUAUACCUACGGCAUAUGCUAUGCAAUCGACGCAGCUAAUCAGAUACUAAGCCUUUGUUUUUGUCCCAAAACUGAAUAGAGAAAUCUGUUGUAUCCCACAAAGAAGACUUUCUGCUACACACACACUGAUAUCAAGUGUUAAGCACAUUUCUACAUCUUAAACGUCAUAUAUCUGCCUCAAUGUCUGCAGCUAAACACCUUCUUAGCAUUUGCUUGACUAAUGAAUUGGCUCUUCAUUGCCAUUUGUUUUUGUACAACUUUGGACUGGCAGAGAAACUUCUCCGCCAUUUGCAGACAAUGUGCGCAAUGUUUACAUAUAAUUAAGACGUUUUGCUGACUGCUGCCAAAAAGUUGAGACGACACCAGAAUCUCCUUACCAGUUGCUGCUCUUGUUCAGCUGAUUUGGUAUGCAUUUGAUGCCAUUAACAGCAAAUAUUCACUUACAUUAAACAUUUGUUGAUGCUCCAAAAAUAAAAUAUGCAAAUUGUUAUUUUUUGAUCCACCUUAGCAUGCGAUAGCAGAUAUGUGUGCCA